rnacentral:rRNA from 1 species
UACGGGAGGCAGCAGUGGGGAAUAUUGCACAAUGGGCGCAAGCCUGAUGCAGCCAUGCCGCGUGUAUGAAGAAGGCCUUCGGGUUGUAAAGUACUUUCAGUCGUGAGGAAGGUGUUAAGGUUAAUAACCUUAGCAAUUGACGUUAGCGACAGAAGAAGCACCGGCUAACUCCGUGCCAGCAGCCGCGGUAAUACGGAGGGUGCGAGCGUUAAUCGGAAUUACUGGGCGUAAAGGGCACGCAGGCGGUUAAUUAAGUUGGAUGUGAAAUCCCCGGGCUUAACCUGGGAAUGGCAUUCAAGACUGGUUAGCUAGAGUCUUGUAGAGGGGGUAGAAUUCCAUGUGCAGCGGUGAAAUGCGUAGAGAUGUGGAGGAAUACCGGUGGCGAAGGCGGCCCCUGGGACAAAGCCGACGCUCAUGUGCGAAAGCGUGGGGAGCAAACAGGGAUUAGAUACC